CCGACUUUAGCUCAGUUGGAAGAGCAUCAGACUGUAAUGGAUAAACCACCGCGAUCUGGGUGUCGCCUGUUCGAACCAGGCAAGUCGGA